rnacentral:rRNA from 2 species
GAAUAUUGCACAAUGGGCGAAAGCCUGAUGCAGCAACGCCGCGUGAGGGAUGACGGCCUUCGGGUUGUAAACCUCUUUUAGUAGGGAAGAAGCGAAAGUGACGGUACCUGCAGAAAAAGCACCGGCUAACUACGUGCCAGCAGCCGCGGUAAUACGUAGGGUGCAAGCGUUGUCCGGAAUUAUUGGGCGUAAAGAGCUCGUAGGCGGUUUGUCGCGUCUGCUGUGAAAUCCCGAGGCUCAACCUCGGGCUUGCAGUGGGUACGGGCAGACUAGAGUGCGGUAGGGGAGAUUGGAAUUCCUGGUGUAGCGGUGGAAUGCGCAGAUAUCAGGAGGAACACCGAUGGCGAAGGCAGAUCUCUGGGCCGUAACUGACGCUGAGGAGCGAAAGCAUGGGGAGCGAACAGGAUUAGAUACCCUGGUAGUCCAUGCCGUAAACGUUGGGCGCUAGAUGUAGGGACCUUUCCACGGUUUCUGUGUCGUAGCUAACGCAUUAAGCGCCCCGCCUGGGGAGUACGGCCGCAAGGCUAAAACUCAAAGGAAUUGACGGGGGCCCGCACAAGCGGCGGAGCAUGCGGAUUAAUUCGAUGCAACGCGAAGAACCUUACCAAGGCUUGACAUACACCGGAAACGGCCAGAGAUGGUCGCCCCCUUGUGGUCGGUGUACAGGUGGUGCAUGGUUGUCGUCAGCUCGUGUCGUGAGAUGUUGGGUUAAGUCCCGCAACGAGCGCAACCCUCGUUCUAUGUUGCCAGCGGGUUAUGCCGGGGACUCAUAGGAGACUGCCGGGGUCAACUCGGAGGAAGGUGGGGAUGACGUCAAAUCAUCAUGCCCCUUAUGUCUUGGGCUUCACGCAUGCUACAAUGGCCGGUACAAAGGGCUGCGAUACCGUAAGGUGGAGCGAAUCCCAAAAAGCCGGUCUCAGUUCGGAUUGAGGUCUGCAACUCGACCUCAUGAAGUCGGAGUCGCUAGUAAUCGCAGAUCAGCAACGCUGCGGUGAAUACGUUCCCGGGCCUUGUACACACCGCCCGUCAAGUCAUGAAAGUCGGUAACACCCGAAGCCGGUGGCCUAACCCUUGUGGAAGGAGCCGUCGAAGGUGGGAUCGGUGAUUAGGACUAAGUCGUAACAAGGUAGCCGUACCGGAAGGUGCGGCUGGAUCACCUCCUUUCU